GUUAGGAUGGCCGAGCGGUCUAAGGCGCUGCAUUAAGGCUGCAGUCUCUUCGGAGGCGUGGGUUCGAAUCCCACUUCUGACA